GCCGGAAUAGCUCAGUCGGUAG
rnacentral:tRNA from 3 species